GAUGAACGCUGGCGGCGUGCCUAAUACAUGCAAGUCGAGCGAACGUCACAGAAGCUUGCUUCUAUGACGUUAGCGGCGGACGGGUGAGUAACACGUGGGCAACCUGCCUGUAAGACUGGGAUAACUUCGGGAAACCGAAGCUAAUACCGGAUAGGAUCUUCUCCUUCAUGGGAGAUGAUUGAAAGAUGGUUUCGGCUAUCACUUACAGAUGGGCCCGCGGUGCAUUAGCUAGUUGGUGAGGUAACGGCUCACCAAGGCAACGAUGCAUAGCCGACCUGAGAGGGUGAUCGGCCACACUGGGACUGAGACACGGCCCAGACUCCUACGGGAGGCAGCAGUAGGGAAUCUUCCGCAAUGGACGAAAGUCUGACGGAGCAACGCCGCGUGAGUGAUGAAGGCUUUCGGGUCGUAAAACUCUGUUGUUAGGGAAGAACAAGUACGAGAGUAACUGCUCGUACCUUGGCGGUACCUAACCAGAAAGCCACGGCUAACUACGUGCCAGCCGCCGCGGUAA
rnacentral:rRNA from 1 species